GAUGAACGCUGGCGGCGUGCCUAAUACAUGCAAGUCGAGCGAACAGAUGAGGAGCUUGCUCCUCUGACGUUAGCGGCGGACGGGUGAGUAACACGUGGAUAACCUACCUAUAAGACUGGGAUAACUUCGGGAAACCGGAGCUAAUACCGGAUAAUAUAUUGAACCGCAUGGUUCAAUAGUGAAAGACGGUUUUGCUGUCACUUAUAGAUGGAUCCGCGCCGCAUUAGCUAGUUGGUAAGGUAACGGCUUACUAAGGCAACGAUGCGUAGCCGACCUGAGAGGGUGAUCGGCCACACUGGAACUGAGACACGGUCAAGACGACUACGGGAGGCAGCAGUAGGGAAUCUUCCGCAAUGGGCGAAAGCAUGACGGAGCAACGCCGCGUGAGUGAUGAAGGUCUUCGGAUCGUAAAACUCUGUUAUUAGGGAAGAACAAAUGUGUAAGUAACUAUGCACGUCUUGACGGUACCUAAUCAGAAAGCCACGGAUAACUACGUG
rnacentral:rRNA from 1 species